rnacentral:lncRNA from 1 species
AAAUAUUUGGGAAAGCAUAUGUAAAAAGUUAGGAAAAUAUUAGCAAAAAUUUAAUAAAAAGAACGAAAUUAUAACGAGGAAAAUAAUGUGAUAAUUACAUAUAUAUAAUUCCACGAGCAUUUGUUAUUACUGAAUAUUCAUCAGUUAUUUUUACAUCAAAUUUAUAAAAACUUUACGACUGAUUUUCAAACUAUUUGAAGUUAAAAAUUAUAUUUUUAGUGUUUCUAAUUAUUACUCAAAAUUUGAGACAUUGUAUCAUAAUAUAUAUUUUCUUACAAUAUUUAUAUUUACGAAUUCACGGACAACCAACUAGUUUGUUUUAAGUAUGCAUCCAAGUUAUACUGUAAUAAACAUAAAAAUAGUUUAUAAAAGUAAGUGUUGGUUAUUACCAGAUGAUCCAAGCAUCUUAUUUGUAGAAAAGGAUUUGUAUGCAAUUGAAAAUGAUAUGUACUUCCUGAUAUCCAAAAAAUAUGGAUGAUAAUACAUUUUUAUUCAAAUUACCAUACUCGCGUAAUGUUUAU